CCCAUAAUCUAGCCCACCUUACUAGUAUUUAGCCACAACCUUUAACUACCCACAAUAAAACAUUUUAAUGCUUUAGUAAAGGCGAUUAAAAAACCUCACAGGGCUUCAGAUUAAGUACCGCAAGGGAAAGAUGAAAUAGAGAUGAAAUAAUAUAUAAGCCUAUAAUAAUAGAGCCUCAACUCGUACCUUUUGCAUCAUGGUCGAGCUAGUCUAACCAAGCGAAGAGUAAAUUUUAGUUUGACCCCCCGAAACUGAGUGAGCUACUUCAAAACAGUUUUAGGACGCACCCCCCCCUGUUGCAAAAGGGCGGGAAGAUUUUCAAGUAGAAGUGAAAAGCCUAUCGAACUCAGAAAUAGCUGGUUAUUCAGGAAAAGAAUUUUAGUUCUACUUUAAGUCCACCCAUGCCCUCAAACAACUUAUUAGACUUAAAAGCUACUCAAAUAAGGCACAGCUUAUCUGAAAAAGGAAACAACCUUUAAUAUAGGGUAAUUACAAAUAUACUGCAAGUGGGCCUAAGAGCAGCCAAAAAAGCGUCAAAGCUUAGCAACUUAAUAAGUCUCAAUACCUAAAACUGCUCCGAACCCCUAACCACUACUGAAUAACUCCAUAGUACUUAUGGAAGAUAUUAUGCUCGAACUAGUAACAAGAAGAUGAACAUUCUCUUAAAUAUAAGUGUAAGCUAUACUGGACUGACCACUAGCAAUUAACGUCGUGAAAAUACUUCAAUAACCCACCUAGAAAAGCCUGAAAACUUCGACGUCAACCUUACACUAGAAUAUUACAAGAAAGAUUAAAAGGACAAGAAGGAACUCGGCAAAUCUUAGCCCCGCCUGUUUACCAAAAACAUCGCCUCCUGCUAAAAUAUGGGAGGUCCAGCCUGCCCAGUGACCCAUUUAACGGCCACGGUACUCUGACCGUGCAAAGGUAGCAUAAUAACUUGUUCAUUAAAUGUGGACUUGUAUCAACGGCACCACGAGGGCUAUACUGUCUCCUCCCCCCAAUCAGUGAAACUAACCCCCCCGUGAAGAGGCGGGGCUUUAACCAUAAGACGAGAAGACCCCAUGGAGCUUUAAACCUAGAGGCACCCACCUGUGAACACCCACUCCCCCUUGCCUCCUGGUUUUAGGUUGGGGCGACCACGGAGUAAAAAAUAACCUCCGCGCCGAAUGGUUAAUCCUAAUCAAUGAGCCCCACUCUAUGAAUCAGCAUACUGACGUAACUGACCCCUAAAAGAUCAACGAACCAAGUUACCCUGGGGAUAACAGCGCAAUUCAUCUUUAAAGCCCCUAUUGAAAGAUGAGCUUACGACCUCGAUGUUGGAUCAGGGUGUCCAAGUGGUGUAACCGCUACUAAGGGUUCGUUG
rnacentral:rRNA from 1 species